rnacentral:rRNA from 1 species
UACGGAGGGGGCUAGCGUUGUUCGGAAUUACUGGGCGUAAAGCGCGCGUAGGCGGCUUAGCAAGUUAGAGGUGAAAGCCCGAAGCUCAACUUCGGAAUUGCCUUUAAAACUGCAAAGCUAGAAUCAUGGAGAGGUGAGUGGAAUUCCGAGUGUAGAGGUGAAAUGCGUAGAUAUCGGGAGGAACACCAGUGGCGAAGGCGACUUCCUGGCCUGUUCUUGACGCUGAGGCGCGAAAGCUAGGGUAGCAAACGGG